rnacentral:lncRNA from 1 species
UCCGGAGAGGAGGGGCCUCUGGAGAGGUUCAGGCCGCCGAAGGAGAGGUACUAAGACAGUUCUGGAGGGUCAGCCAGCCCAUCAGCUCACCUCUAGCGCCUGGCCCAGCUCCAGAUCGAAGGUGACCACGCACACACACUCCAGCCAGGCAGAGAAGCGCGCCCAGGGCAUCUCCGCGGUCCGCGCCGCGCGGCCGGAGGACGAGGAUCUUGUCGCGCCUAGUCCUCCGCCAGCUUGCCGGGGCCCGGGACCCACCGGCACCUCCAUGGUAGCAGCUCCAGCGGUACCCGGGCACGUUGCGGAGAAACGCAGGGGUUCACCUGGGCCGCCUCGGAGCAGUCGAGCUGCCGCCGUAGGCCAGAAGGGCCCCGGAGCAGCCGCGCGCCCCCUGGCGCUAGAGGAGCGUCCGCCCUAGAGUGUCGCCUAACGUACCAGCGAGAAAGGCCCCAGCCGGUUAGAAGGGUCUAGAGAUGGAGGCGCUUCCCGAUAAUGGAGAUUGCGUGACCCGGGUCGGCCAGUAGGUGGCUAGUGUGGCCCUGCAUCUGGCAGAAGAGAAAGGGCGGUUCCUGAUGUCAUCUCUGCCUGGCGUAUGGAUUGAGGGACUCUGGGCGUAUAGUGGUGUCUACCAGGGGUGUCUGGGCAACAUAGAAUUAUGUUGGGCACCACCCCCCCCCCAGGGGUAUCCAACCCGGCCGAGGGUUGUGAGCCUAAUGUUUAUUUGUGUGUCAUCGCUUGUCGCGGACAGCUUUUGUGCUGGACAAUCGCCCAAGGUAGUUAAAGACAAACCUCAAAAUGCUUUAAAAGUGUGAAAACCACGGGUGGUUUGUGGUGGUGCACGCCUUUAGUUCCAGCACUCUGGAGGCAAAGGCAGGCGAAUCUCUGAAGUCUAAGCAAGCCUGGUCUACAGAGCAAGUGUCCAAGACAGUUCGGGCGACACACAGAAACCCUGUCACGGGAAAAUGAAGACAAACAAAACAAACAAAGCGUGAAAAAUAAUGUUUGGGGCUAAGAGAUGGCUCAGCGAGUAAAAACACGGGCUGCACUUCCGUGCAGAAUGGGGGCUCUGUUUCCAGCACCCACAAAUGUAACUGUACUUCCAGGAGAUUAGACGCCCUCUUCCAACCUCCGAGAGCGCCAGGCACGCGUGUCUGUACUACAUUGGGCACCUUCACCCAUCCGCCUUUAAUGAAGGCCAUUCUGCCUGAGUUGGCGGGUCCACCCAGACCUAGUCCCACUCCAGGCUAGUGUGCCUACUUUGGCUAGCAAAGAGGGGCAGCCUGGUCAACGAAUGCUGCUGCCUUUGGGAUUAAGGUAGUUGCAGAGCCUAGUUCUAAGGAUAAGGAUUAUAGAAGAGUGAAUUUAGAAUGAAGAGGUAAUGAGGCAGGCUAGAAAGACAGGAACAUUUGGGGGAACCUAAGAAGGGGGAAGGAGAGCCUUCGCCUACCUGCCCCAAGCAUAAAUAACAAUUAAGGCCCUUCUCCCUUCCCUGCUAUAAACUUGCAAUUUUCCAUUAGAAUCCCUGGCUUACAGGGAAAAGGGGCAUACACCAGAUCUCUUGGGCAACCCUAGUAGUUUUGUUUUUACUUUAUUAAAGAUUGCCAUCUAAGGCAUUCCAAAGAGCUACCUCACCCAUCCUUCUCAGCAAAACGGGGAGGAGGUGUUAGUAAUCUUUUGAGAUACAACCUGAGAGCCGUCAAGAUGGGAGAGAUGACCAAUGCUAAACAAUGGUAACUCUCUCAUGGAUCUGCCUUAUUGGGUCCUUGAGAAGCCUACACCUAUGCUCUUGGAUGUGUCUUACUUUCUUCUGAGUGCCCCCAACAAACACCCUGUAUGAGACAGGGUCUCUCUAUGUGGUCCUGGCUGGUGAGGAACUUGAUAUGUAGACCAGGCUCACUUUGAACUCCUGAAACUCUGCCUGUCUCUGCUGAGACUAGAGGUAGCCUUCAUCAGCCAUACAAAGUGUGCUUGCUUCUUGCGAGCUCGCUCUCUCUCUCUCUGUUUUUGUGAGGCAGGGUUUCUCUGUGUAGCCCUGGCUGUUUUGGAAUUCACUCUGUAGACCAGGACACAUUGACUCUCUUAACCAUAGUGUUUAAACCUGUAUUAAAAUGUUUUCAUUAAGCCCCAACUUUCAUUCUGUCAGAAGGCAGAUCACAGUGCUGACAGAAGUAAUGAGGGUGAGAAGUACUUAGCCCGAGUAUGUCAUUGUUCUUAGAGCCAUCUCUUUCUUAUUGUCCUGGAAGUGCUGUGAUAAUACUAAACUAUAAACAAAGAUAUUUCCAUUAAAAAAACAAACAAACAAACCAAA